rnacentral:rRNA from 1 species
UACGGAGGGUGCAAACGUUGCUCGGAAUCAUUGGGCGUAAAGCGCACGUAGGCGGCACGUCAAGUCGCGUGUGAAAUCCCCAGGCUUAACCUGGGAAGUGCGCGCGAAACUGACGAGCUUGAGUGCCGGAGAGGGUCGCGGAAUUCCCGGUGUAGAGGUGAAAUUCGUAGAUAUCGGGAGGAACACCAGUGGCGAAGGCGGCGACCUGGGACGGACACGUGACGCUGAGACGCGAAAGCGUGGGGAGCAAACAGGG